UUUCCGUAGGUGAACCCGCGGAAGGAUCAUUAAAGAGAAUAUGCCCUUCGGGGUAGAUCUCCCACCCUUUGUUUAUAUUACCUUUGUUGCUUUGGCAGGCCCGUCUUCGGACCACCAGCUUCGGCUGGUCAGUGCUUGCCAGAGGACCCAAAACUCUUAUUAUUAAUGUCGUCUGAGUACUAUAUAAUAGUUAAAACUUUCAACAACGGAUCUCUUGGUUCUG
rnacentral:misc_RNA from 1 species